CAGUCGCCGCGGGAACACGGAGGGAGCUAGCGUUGUUCGGAAUUACUGGGCGUAAAGCGCGCGUAGGCGGUUACUCAAGUCAGAGGUGAAAGCCCGGGGCUCAACCCCGGAACUGCCUUUGAAACUAGGUGACUAGAAUCUUGGAGAGGUCAGUGGAAUUCCGAGUGUAGAGGUGAAAUUCGUAGAUAUUCGGAAGAACACCAGUGGCGAAGGCGACUGACUGGACAAGUAUUGACGCUGAGGUGCGAAAGCGUGGGGAGCAAACAGGAUUAGAGACCCCAGUAGUCCCUGUCUCUUAUAC
rnacentral:rRNA from 1 species